rnacentral:misc_RNA from 1 species
GAAAUGCGAUAAGUAGUGUGAAUUGCAGAAUUCAGUGAAUCAUCGAAUCUUUGAACGCACAUUGCGCCCUCUGGCAUUCCGGGGGGCAUGCCUGUCCGAGCGUCAUUACGCACCCUCAAGCCCGGCUUGUGUGAUGGGCCCCGGCGUCUCGUUCGCGAGACGGGCCCGAAAGGCAGCGGCGGCGUCGACCCGAUGAGCCCGAGCGUAUGGGGACUUCUGUCACACGUUCGCAGUGCGGACCGGCGCCUGCUUGACUUUUCUGAUUAUCCAGGUUGACCUCGGAUCAGGUAGGGAUACCCGCUGAACUUAAGC